UAAAACCUAUUUAAAAUGGCGGCAUUUCAUCUUAUUAAAGGAAUCUGUUUUAUAAUCGAUAAUCCACGAUAAUUUUCACUCAAAUUAAAAAUUUAUAUACCGCCGUCUAAAGAAUUAAUUUAAUAAUAUUAUUCUAAAUAAUAAAUAAAAAGUUAGGUCAAGGUGUAAUCUACAUUUUAGUAAAAAAUGGAUUACAUUAAAAAAAAUUUAAGGAUAUAUAAAUAAAAAUUUACAUUAAAAAAGGAUUCAAAAGUAAUAUUUAAAAUAAUAUUUUAAUAUG
rnacentral:rRNA from 1 species